rnacentral:rRNA from 1 species
GACGAACGCUGGCGGCGUGCUUAACACAUGCAAGUCGAACGAGUGGCGAACGGGUGAGUAACACGUGGGUGACCUGCCCUGCACUUCGGGAUAAGCCUGGGAAACUGGGUCUAAUACCGGAUAGUGUGGGAUGGGCCCGCGGCCUAUCAGCUUGUUGGUGGGGUAAUGGCUACCAAGGCGCGACGGGUAGCCGGCCUGAGAGGGUGGACGGCCACAUUGGGACUGAGAAACGGCCCAGACUCCUACGGGAGGCAGCAGUGGGGAAUAUUGCACAAUGGGCGGAAGCCUGAUGCAGCGACGCCGCGUGAGUGAAGAAGGUUUUCGGAUCGUAAAACUCUGUGGUUAGAAAAGCGGUAUCUAACCAGAAAGCCACGGCUAACUACGUGCCAGCAGCCGCGGUAAUUC